CGGCAUGGCCGAGAUUGGCACGUACGUCUCCAAACUGCUCACCUCCGAGCUGUCCGGCAACGUCAUCGACCUCUGCCCCGUCGGCGCGUUGACGUCAAAGCCUUUCGCGUUUACCGCCAGGUCGUGGGAGCUCCGAACCGCGGAAUCCAUCGACGUCACCGACGGCCUCGGGUCCAACAUCAGGGUCGACACGCGCGGCACCGAGGUGAUGCGCGUCGUCCCGCGUUUGCACGAGGGCGUCAACGAGGAGUGGAUCAGCGACAAGGCGCGGUUCUCCUACGACGGGUUGAAGCGGCAGCGCCUGGAC
rnacentral:lncRNA from 1 species